ensembl:lncRNA
GGGUUAAUACACAGAGCUGCGCGCGUCCCGCGGAAGAACAAUCUAACCGGAGCUACUUCUCCAAGUUUAUGUCUAUGGCGAUUCACGCAGGAUUAUCCACACAUGGCCAGCACAGCGCUCGGGAGUCUGUUCUUCCUGCUAAAACCCUUCCGGUCCUGGUCUCCUGUUGGGUCUGGAUCAGCAGCGAGAGACCACCUCUCGUCCUCUACGGUCAGCCCGGGACGCUGCUCCACUAGUGAUCAUGAGCCUGGUCACGCGGUGUCAGCUGUGUUUGAUCAUUCAGGGUUUGUUCUGGAAGAUGAGUCUGGAUCUAUCUGUGUUUCUGGAGAAGAGCUCAUGGACACGCGAGACUCUGUGCAGCAGAUCAUAGAUGAAGACAGAAAAGAGCCGAGUGCCUCCUCACGCAGGAGGGACUGCAGUGUUGAAGAUGUUAGAGGCAUCUGCGUGGGUUUGUAGAGAGAGAGGUUAUGGUCGGAGAGUGAACAUCAGAGCCUACGGAAGUCAGAGCCAAAGGUCCCGAGGCAAGGGCUGUACAUUAGAGACCACACCUAAUCAUUCUGGUGGGUGGAAAACAGAAAAAGACCGUUUGCCUCAAUCCCCUCAUCCUUUCCUGCCCAAAAGAAAGCCAGGUGUGCAGCCACCUCUGUCGACUUCUGUAGACACCCAUUGAGCUUCUCAUAAUGUAUUCUGACAAGUCUGCUAUCAAAACACUGUGUGCCAACACUAAUAAAAAAGCACUAUACAUGGGCUUUCUAAAGCUUCCAAAGCUCA